rnacentral:snoRNA from 1 species
GCGCAAAAGCAGCUGCUUUUGCGCAAAAGCAGCUGCUUUUGCGCAAAAGCAGCUGCUUUUGCGCAAAAGCAGCUGCUUUUGCGCAAAAGCAGCUGCUUUUGCGCAAAAACUUGC